rnacentral:rRNA from 1 species
CGUAACAAGGUCUCUGUUGGUGAACCAGCGGAGGGAUCAUUACUGAGUUUACGCUCUAUAACCCUUUGUGAACAUACCUAUAACUGUUGCUUCGGCGGGUAGGGUCUCCGCGACCCUCCCGGCCUCCCGCCUCCGGGCGGGUCGGCGCCCGCCGGAGGAUAACCAAACUCUGAUUUAACGACGUUUCUUCUGAGUGGUACAAGCAAAUAAUCAAAACUUUUAACAACGGAUCUCUUGGUUCUGGCAUCGAUGAAGAACGCAGCGAAAUGCGAUAAGUAAUGUGAAUUGCAGAAUUCAGUGAAUCAUCGAAUCUUUGAACGCACAUUGCGCCCGCCAGCAUUCUGGCGGGCAUGCCUGUUCGAGCGUCAUUUCAACCCUCAAGCUCUGCUUGGUGUUGGGGCCCUACAGCUGAUGUAGGCCCUCAAAGGUAGUGGCGGACCCUCCCGGAGCCUCCUUUGCGUAGUAACUUUACGUCUCGCACUGGGAUCCGGAGGGACUCUUGCCGUAAAACCCCCCAAUUUUCCAAAGGUUGACCUCGGAUCAGGUAGGAAUACCCGCUGAACUUAAGCAUAUCA